rnacentral:rRNA from 1 species
GACGAACGCUGGCGGCGUGCCUAAUACGUGCAAGUAGAACGCUGAAGGAGGAGCUUGCUUCUCUGGAUGAGUUGCGAACGGGUGAGUAACGCGUAGGUAACCUGCCUGGUAGCGGGGGAUAACUAUUGGAAACGAUAGCUAAUACCGCAUAAGAGUAAAUGUUGCAUGACAUUUGCUUAAAAGGUGCAAUUGCAUCACUACCAGAUGGACCUGCGUUGUAUUAGCUAGUUGGUGGGGUAACGGCUCACCAAGGCGACGAUACAUAGCCGACCUGAGAGGGUGAUCGGCCACACUGGGACUGAGACACGGCCCAGACUCCUACGGGAGGCAGCAGUAGGGAAUCUUCGGCAAUGGACGGAAGUCUGACCGAGCAACGCCGCGUGAGUGAAGAAGGUUUUCGGAUCGUAAAGCUCUGUUGUAAGAGAAGAACGAGUGUGAGAGUGGAAAGUUCACACUGUGACGGUAUCUUACCAGAAAGGGACGGCUAACUACGUG